AACCUAAACUUCUUCUCACCCGAACCUUUUCUCCUCUGCUUCUCGCGUGCGACGGCGCCGUUUCUACCGAGCGAAGGAAUACGAAGCCCUAGCUUCGUCUCCGGCGGCUGGCGAAGGCCUUCUUCCGGCGAAUCUUGCGGAUCCGAGCUCCUCUCGUCGAAGAGAACGCAUGAGCACGGAAGAGAAGCCGAAGUCUUCAUCUCCCCGAAGCCCUAGAGCCUUCCUCUUUGGCUGUAAGUCCAAGAAAUCGCAAGGAAUUUGGUUUCAUUUUUGUUUCCGAAUUUUGGUAAUGGAGAUUGUUGUUUAGGGCUUGCUGUCAUGAGACUCACAGAAAGAACAAGAAAGGGGUUAGAUACAAGAAAGGAAAAGAUAUAGAAAGGAAGGCGACAAGGAGGUGGUCGAAGGAUGUGUGAU